AUACAUUUUUAUGUUCACAUUUUCAUUCAGGUUCACAUUUACUGUAGAUUGGGAUUCAGGUUGAGAUUCAGGUUUAGAUUCACAUUUACAUUCAAGUUUAC